AUUGAACGCUGGCGGCAUGCCUUACACAUGCAAGUCGAACGGCAGCACGGGAGCAAUCCUGGUGGCGAGUGGCGAACGGUGAGUAAUAUAUCGGAACGUGCCCAGUCGUGGGGGAUAACGUAGCGAAAGCUACGCUAAUACCGCAUACGAUCUAUGGAUGAAAGCGGGGGAUCGCAAGACCUCGCGCGAUUGGAGCGGCCGAUAUCAGAUUAGGUAGUUGGUGAGGUAAAGGCUCACCAAGCCGACGAUCUGUAGCUGGUCUGAGAGGACGACCAGCCACACUGGGACUGAGACACGGCCCAGACUCCUACGGGAGGCAGCAGUGGGGAAUUUUGGACAAUGGGCGCAAGCCUGAUCCAGCAAUGCCGCGUGCAGGAUGAAGGCCUUCGGGUUGUAAACUGCUUUUGUACGGAACGAAACGGUAAGCUCUAAUACAGUUUGCUAAUGACGGUACCGUAAGAAUAAGCACCGGCUAACUACGUG
rnacentral:rRNA from 1 species